rnacentral:siRNA from 1 species
ACCAGAUGCUAUGUAUUAUCCA